GACGUAGGGUCCGAGCGUUGUCCGGAGUUACUGGGCGUAAAGGGCGCGUAGGCGGUCAGCACAAGUCAGUUGUGAAAUCUACGAGCUUAACUCGGAAAGGUCAACUGAUACUGUGCGACUAGAGUGCGGAAGGGGCAACUGGAAUUCCUGGUGUAGCGGUGAAAUGCGUAGAUAUCAAGAGGAACACCUGCGGCGAAGGCGGGUUGCUGGGCCGACACUGACGCUGAUGCGCGAAAGCCAGGGGAGCGAACGGG
rnacentral:rRNA from 1 species